rnacentral:rRNA from 1 species
UAGCCUUGACAUUGAGAGAACCUGCCAGAGAUGGCGGGGUGCCCUUCGGGGAGCUCGAAAACAGGUGCUGCACGGCUGUCGUCAGCUCGUGUCGUGAGAUGUUGGGUUAAGUCCCGCAACGAGCGCAACCCUCGUCCUUAGUUGCUAGCAGUUCGGCUGAGCACUCUAAGGAGACUGCCUUCGUAAGGAGGAGGAAGGUGAGGACGACGUCAAGUCAUCAUGGCCCUUAUGGCUAGGGCUACACACGUGCUACAAUGGGGCGUACAGAGUGUUGCGAUACCGCGAGGUGGAGCUAAUCACUUAAAGCGUCUCUCAGUUCGGAUUGGAGUCUGCAACUCGACUCCAUGAAGCUGGAAUCACUAGUAAUCGUAGAUCAGCAAUGCUACGGUGAAUACGUUCCGCGGGUCU